rnacentral:misc_RNA from 1 species
GCUGUACAUUACAACUGUCUCUCUAUAUAUAAACUUGUAUUUCCAUCACUUCCAAGACUUGCACAUUAUAGUUUUGAGGUGGAGGAAGAGGCAAUUACUUGGACACAAGCACUGUGGUUGAUCUUCAAAGCAAAAGUGGACUGACUUGCUGUGCACCCACAUUGCAAUUAAGCCUACCCUCCAUAAAUUUUCACCUUUUUGUUCCAAGAUUCUUGAUCUUGCUUCAAAUUUCCCUCCACCCAGAAAGGAAAGUUGUGUUCUUGGAUGUGUUUGUAAGAUUAAAAAAAAAAGAGAAAAAAAGGGAGGUGGAAUCAUGGAGGUUAACUCACUUCAGAAGUGGGUUCUGCUAUGGUGUAUAGUAUUGUUUAUUAGCUCUGGGUUGGUUCACUGUGAUGUUACAUAUGAUAGGAAAGCUAUUGUGAUUAAUGGGCAAAGAAGAUUACUUUUCUCUGGUUCUAUACAUUACCCUAGAAGUACCCCUGAGAUGUGGGAAGAUCUGAUAAACAAGGCAAAAGAAGGGGGUUUGGAUGUGGUUGAGACCUAUGUCUUUUGGAAUGUUCAUGAGCCUUCUCCUGGCAAUU